CAGCUCGUGUUGUGAAAUGUUGGGUUAAGUCCCGCAACGAGCGCAACCCUUAUCCUUGUUUGCCAGCACAUAAUGGUGGGAACUCCAGGGAGACUGCCGGUGAUAAACCGGAGGAAGGUGGGGACGACGUCAAGUCAUCAUGGCCCUUACGAGUAGGGCUACACACGUGCUACAAUGGCAGAUACAGAGGGCAGCGAAGCUGCGAAGUGGAGCGAAUCCCUUAAAGUUUGUCGUAGUCCGGAUUGGAGUCUGCAACUCGACUCCAUGAAGUCGGAAUCGCUAGUAAUCGUGGAUCAGAAUGCCACGGUGAAUACGUUCCCGGGCCUUGUACACACCGCCCGUCACACCAUGGGAGUGGGCUGCACCAGAAGUAGAUAGCUUAACCUUCGGGAGGGCGUUUACCACGGUGUGGUUCAUGACUGGGGUGAAGUCGUAACAAGGUAGCCCUAGGGGAACCUGGGGCUGGAUCACCUCCUUACU
rnacentral:rRNA from 1 species